rnacentral:tRNA from 1 species
GCCCUCGUAGCACAAUGGAUAGUGCAUACCGGUUCUAACGGGAAGGUUGGAGGUUCGACCCCUCCCGAGGGCG